GGACUACCCGGGUAUCUAAUCCUGUUCGCUCCCCCAGCUUUCGUGCCUCAGCGUCAGGUGUCGUCCAGGGCGCUGCCUACGCCGUCGGUGUUCCUCCGGAUCUCUACGCAUUUCACCGCUCCACCCGGAAUUCCACGCCCCUCUCCGACCCUCAAGCGAUCCCGUCUGGCGACCAUCCUCCCAGGUAAGCCAGGAGAUUUCAUCUCGCCACGCGAACCGCCGCCUGCGCACCCUUUACGCCCAGUAACUCCGGACAACGCUCGCCUCCUACGUAUUACCGCGGCUGCUGGCAC
rnacentral:rRNA from 1 species